UAUUGAAAGAAUCAAAACCUGUAAAUUCCUCUGAAUGGAAUAUGGUAGGUUGUUAUCAAGGACAGGCAUACUGGCUAAAACAAGUAGAGAGAGCGACUCUGGAGCACAGCCUUUAAGGGACACAUUACAAUCUCCUAAACUGAUGGAAGAAAGCAUAUUUCAAAGCAACCUGAUUUAAGCCACAUUGAACAGCUGACAAGCGACUGGCAAGCCUAUGCCAAUUGAUAAGCUAGCAAUUCUAAUUUUGACGAAUAGCAAAUUCAACUAUUUUAAAGAAGACUCCAAAUACAAGACUUUACAAUAACUGAAGCAAGAAAAUAUCGGAAAAUCUAGGCAAGCGUGACCCAACAACUCAUUCUACACCUACCAAAUCUGGGCUGCAAAAAUGCAGAUGACUACCAAAUGGCGGCACAGAAUUAGAGCCUUCUCUAUCUCUUUGUUGAUACUCUAAUGCAGGGGUGUCAAACUCAAGACGUCAUGGUGGCAUCACGUGACAUAUUGGGACUUUUUUUCCCUUUGCUAAACUGGAUGUGGACAUGGCCAGUGCGUGACGCAUCCGGCCUUUGGGCCAGGAGUUUGACAGCCCUGAUCUAAUAAUUAUCUGGAUUUGUAGCCCAGAUCUAGAUGCUCUACCUCAAUUGGGCAAAUGAUUCAGCUGGAAAAAGUCCUUCAAGUGAACUACUGCCAGUGGCAGAUCAAUAAAAAUGCUUGAUUGAAAACCAAA